UACGUAGGGUGCAAGCGUUGUCCGGAAUUAUUGGGCGUAAAGAGCUCGUAGGCGGUUUGUCGCGUCUGCUGUGAAAACGCGAGGCUCAACCUCGCGCCUGCAGUGGGUACGGGCAGACUAGAGUGCGGUAGGGGAGAUUGGAAUUCCUGGUGUAGCGGUGAAAUGCGCAGAUAUCAGGAGGAACACCGGUGGCGAAGGCGGAUCUCUGGGCCAUUACUGACGCUGAGGAGCGAAAGCGUGGGGAGCGAACAGG
rnacentral:rRNA from 1 species